UGGGGAAUCUUCCGCAAUGGACGAAAGUCUGACGGAGCAACGCCGCGUGUAUGAUGAAGGUCUUCGGAUUGUAAAGUACUGUCAUUGGGGAAGAACGGUUUUCUUGAAAAGAUUGAGAAGACAUGACGGUACCCAAGGAGGAAGCCCCGGCUAACUACGUGCCAGCAGCCGCGGUAAUACGUAGGGGGCAAGCGUUGUCCGGAAUUAUUGGGCGUAAAGGGCGCGUAGGCGGGCCUUUAAGUCCGGUGUGAAAGAUCAGGGCUCAACCCUGAGAGUGCAUCGGAAACUGGAGGCCUUGAGGACAGGAGAGGAAAGUGGAAUUCCACGUGUAGCGGUGAAAUGCGUAGAUAUGUGGAGGAACACCAGUGGCGAAAGGCGACUUUCUGGACUGUAACUGACGCUGAGGCAUGAAAGCGUGGGUAGCAAACAGGAUUAGAUACCCUGGUAGUCCACGCCGUAAACGAUGAGCACUAGGUGUAGGAGGUAUCGACCCCUUCUGUGCCGCAGUUAACACAAUAAGUACUCCGCCUGGGAAGUACGAUCGCAAGAUUAAAACUCAAAUGAAUUGACGGGGUC
rnacentral:rRNA from 1 species